ACUACCCCUAGNNCCCCCAAUUAACAAAUAAAAAUUAUUUUAACAUAUAAAUUAAACCAUUUACUUUUUCCACAUAGUAUAGGAGAUAGAAAUGUACUUCAGGCGCUAUAGAGGUAGUACCGCAAGGGAAAGAUGAAAGAAGUAACUUCAAGUAAAAAAAAGCAAAGAUAAACCCUUAUACCUUUUGCAUAAUGAACUAGCCAGAAUAACCUUAGCAAAAAGAAUUUAAGUUAAAAACCCCGAAACCAAGCGAGCUACCCACAAACAANUUUUUGGAAUGAACCCGUCUAUGUGGCAAAAUAGUGGGAAGAUUUUUGGGUAGCGGUGAAAAGCCUAACGAGCCUGGUGAUAGCUGGUUAUCCAGAAAAAAAAUUUUAGUUUGACAUAAAAUUUACUUAAAGAACCACGUAAUCCCCACGUAAAUUUUAUUGUUAGUCUAAAGGGGGACAGCCCUUUAGAACUUAGGCUAAACCUUUAUUAGAGAAUAAAAUAUACCCUUACCCCAUAGUUGGCCUAAAAGCAGCCAUCAAUUAAGAAAGCGUUCAAGCUCAAACUUACAAUACUUAAAUAAUACAGCUCUUUAACCCUAAAUUCCUAAACCCUUACUGGAUCAAUCUAUAAAUCUAUAGAAGAACUAAUGCUAGUAUGAGUAACAAGAAUUAUAUUCUCCCUACCCAAAUGUAUAUCAGACCGGAUAACCACUGAUAGUUACCCCUCACAAAAGAACCAAUCAAAACAAAAUUACUCUUUUGUCACUUAGGUUUAAUCCAACACAGGAGGGUUAAUGGGAUAGAUAAAAAGAAGUGAAAGGAACUCGGCAAACAAAAACCCCGCCUGUUUACCAAAAACAUCACCUCCAGCAUAAAAAGUAUUGGAGGCACUGCCUGCCCGGUGACUCAAGUUAAACGGCCGCGGUAUCCUGACCGUGCAAAGGUAGCAUAAUCAUUUGUUCCUUAAUUAGGGACUUGUAUGAAAGGCAAGACGAGGGUUUAACUGUCUCUCACCUCCUAUCAGUGAAAUUGACCUCCCAGUGAAGAGGCUGGGAUAAAACAAUAAGACGAGAAGACCCUAUGGAGCUUUAGCUAGUUAUUUUACUAAAUACAUUUAACACCCCACUAGGGUAUAAACAAGUUUUUACUAAAAUAACAGUUUCGGUUGGGGUGACCUCGGAGAACAAAUUAUCCUCCGAAUGAAUUUAAUCGAGACCUACCAGUCAAGGUGGAUUCUUCCUUCAUUAAUUGACCCAAACUAAUUUGAUCAAUGGACCAAGUUACCCUAGGGAUAACAGCGCUAUCCUAUUCAAGAGUUCAUAUCGACAAUAGGGUUUACGACCUCGAUGUUGGAUCAGGGUAUCCCAAUGGUGCAGAAGCUAUUAAUGGUUCGUUUGUUCAACGAUUAAAACCCUACGUGAUCUGAGUUCAGACCGGAGUAAUCCAGGUCGGUUUCUAUCUAUUAGCGAUUUCUCCCAGUACGAAAGGACCAGAGAAAUAGAGCCAACUGAACCAUCAACGCUCUAAGUUAAAUAAAUGAAUUAGUCUUAAUUUAGUAACACAGCAUAACCCAGCCCUAGAGACAGGGUAC
rnacentral:rRNA from 1 species